rnacentral:rRNA from 1 species
UACGUAGGGGGCAAGCGUUGUCCGGAAUCAUUGGGCGUAAAGAGCGUGUAGGCGGUUCGGUAAGUCGGCUGUGAAAGUCCAGGGCUCAACCCUGGGAUGCCGGUCGAUACUGCCGGACUAGAGUUCGGAAGAGGCGAGUGGAAUUCCCGGUGUAGCGGUGAAAUGCGUAGAUAUCAGGAGGAACACCUGCGGUGUAGACGGCUUACUGGACGGUAACUGACGCUGAGGCACGAAAGCGUGGGUAGCAAACAGG